rnacentral:rRNA from 1 species
ACAAUGGAGAGUUUGAUCCUGGCUCAGGAUGAACGCUAGCGGCAGGCAUAAUACAUGCAAGACGAACGGUAACUUGAGUAGCAAUACU